UAGAGUAUGACAGUUACUUUAAGGAAUGGUC
rnacentral:piRNA from 1 species